rnacentral:rRNA from 1 species
GAUGAACGCUGGCGGCGUGCCUAAUACAUGCAAGUCGAGCGAACGGACGAGAAGCUUGCUUCUUUGAUGUUAGCGGCGGACGGGUGGGUAACACGUGGAUAACCUACCUAUAAGACUGGGAUAACUUCGGGAAACCGUAGCUAAUACCGGAUAAUAUUUUGAACCGCAUGGUUCAAAAGUGAAAGACGGUCUUGCUGUAACUUAUAGAUGGAUCCGCGCUGCAUUAGCUAGUUGGUAAGGUAACGGCUUACCAAGGCAACGAUGCAUAGCCGACCUGAGAGAGAGAUCGGCCACACGGGAAGUGAGACAGGGUCCAGACUCCUGCGGGAGGCAGCAGUAGGGAAUCGUCCGCAAGGGGGGAGAGCCUGACAGAGCAACGCCGCGUGAGUUAUGAAGGAGUUCGGAUCGGAAAGCUCUGUUAUUAGGGGAGAACAGAUGUGUAAGUAACUGUGCAGAUCUUGACGGUACCUAAUCAGAAAGCCACGGCUAACUACGUG